UUAGUGGCGAACGGGUGAGUAACGCGUGAGUAACCUGCCCUAGAGUGGGGGACAACAGUUGGAAACGACUGCUAAUACCGCAUAAGCCCACGGUACCGCAUGGUACUGAGGGAAAAGGAUUUAUUCGCUUUAGGAUGGACUCGCGUCCAAUUAGCUAGUUGGUGAGGUAACGGCCCACCAAGGCGACGAUUGGUAGCCGGACUGAGAGGUUGAACGGCCACAUUGGGACUGAGACACGGCCCAGACUCCUACGGGAGGCAGCAGUGGGGGAUAUUGCACAAUGGGGGAAACCCUGAUGCAGCGACGCCGCGUGGAGGAAGAAGGUUUUCGGAUUGUAAACUCCUGUCGUUAGGGACGAUAAUGACGGUACCUAACAAGAAAGCACCGGCUAACUACGUGCCAGCAGCCGCGGUAAAACGUAGGGUGCAAGCGUUGUCCGGAAUUACUGGGUGUAAAGGGAGCGCAGGCGGGAAGACAAGUUGGAAGUGAAAACCAUGGGCUCAACCCAUGAAUUGCUUUCAAAACUGUUUUUCUUGAGUAGUGCAGAGGUAGAUGGAAUUCCCGGUGUAGCGGUGGAAUGCGUAGAUAUCGGGAGGAACACCAGUGGCGAAGGCGGUCUACUGGGCACCAACUGACGCUGAGGCUCGAAAGCAUGGGUAGCAAACAGGAUUAGAUACCCUGGUAGUCCAUGCCGUAAACGAUGAUUACUAGGUGU
rnacentral:rRNA from 1 species